rnacentral:rRNA from 1 species
GACGAACGCUGGCGGCGUGCUUAACACAUGCAAGUCGAACGGAAAGGCCCUGCUUUUGUGGGGUGCUCGAGUGGCGAACGGGUGAGUAACACGUGAGUAACCUGCCCUUGACUUUGGGAUAACUUCAGGAAACUGGGGCUAAUACCGGAUAGGAGCUCCUGCUGCAUGGUGGGGGUUGGAAAGUUUCGGCGGUUGGGGAUGGACUCGCGGCUUAUCAGCUUGUUGGUGGGGUAGUGGCUUACCAAGGCUUUGACGGGUAGCCGGCCUGAGAGGGUGACCGGCCACAUUGGGACUGAGAUACGGCCCAGACUCCUACGGGAGGCAGCAGUGGGGAAUAUUGCACAAUGGGCGGAAGCCUGAAGCAGCAACGCCGCGUGCGGGAUGACGGCCUUCGGGUUGUAAACCGCUUUCGCCUGUGACGAAGCGUGAGUGACGGUAAUGGGUAAAGAAGCACCGGCUAGCUACGUG